AAAUUGAAGAGUUUGAUCAUGGCUCAGAUUGAACGCUGGCGGCAGGCCUAACACAUGCAAGUCGAACGGUAACAGGAAACAGCUUGCUGUUUCGCUGACGAGUGGCGGACGGGUGAGUAAUGUCUGGGAAACUGCCUGAUGGAGGGGGAUAACUACUGGAAACGGUAGCUAAUACCGCAUAACGUCGCAAGACCAAAGAGGGGGACCUUAGGGCCUCUUGCCAUCGGAUGUGCCCAGAUGGGAUUAGCUAGUAGGUGGGGUAAAGGCUCACCUAGGCGACGAUCCCUAGCUGGUCUGAGAGGAUGACCAGCCACACUGGAACUGAGACACGGUCCAGACUCCUACGGGAGGCAGCAGUGGGGAAUAUUGCACAAUGGGCGCAAGCCUGAUGCAGCCAUGCCGCGUGUAUGAAGAAGGCCUUCGGGUUGUAAAGUACUUUCAGCGGGGAGGAAGGGAGUAAAGUUAAUACCUUUGCUCAUUGACGUUACCCGCAGAAGAAGCACCGGCUAACUCCGUGCCAGCAGCCGCGGUAAUACGGAGGGUGCAAGCGUUAAUCGGAAUUACUGGGCGUAAAGCGCACGCAGGCGGUUUGUUAAGUCAGAUGUGAAAUCCCCGGGCUCAACCUGGGAACUGCAUCUGAUACUGGCAAGCUUGAGUCUCGUAGAGGGGGGUAGAAUUCCAGGUGUAGCGGUGAAAUGCGUAGAGAUCUGGAGGAAUACCGGUGGCGAAGGCGGCCCCCUGGACGAAGACUGACGCUCAGGUGCGAAAGCGUGGGGAGCAAACAGGAUUAGAUACCCUGGUAGUCCACGCCGUAAACGAUGUCGACUUGGAGGUUGUGCCCUUGAGGCGUGGCUUCCGGAGCUAACGCGUUAAGUCGACCGCCUGGGGAGUACGGCCGCAAGGUUAAAACUCAAAUGAAUUGACGGGGCCCGCACAAGCGGUGGAGCAUGUGGUUUAAUUCGAUGCAACGCGAAGAACCUUACCUGGUCUUGACAUCCACGGAAGUUUUCAGAGAUGAGAAUGUGCCUUCGGGAACCGUGAGACAGGUGCUGCAUGGCUGUCGUCAGCUCGUGUUGUGAAAUGUUGGGUUAAGUCCCGCAACGAGCGCAACCCUUAUCCUUUGUUGCCAGCGGUCCGGCCGGGAACUCAAAGGAGACUGCCAGUGAUAAACUGGAGGAAGGUGGGGAUGACGUCAAGUCAUCAUGGCCCUUACGACCAGGGCUACACACGUGCUACAAUGGCGCAUACAAAGAGAAGCGACCUCGCGAGAGCAAGCGGACCUCAUAAAGUGCGUCGUAGUCCGGAUUGGAGUCUGCAACUCGACUCCAUGAAGUCGGAAUCGCUAGUAAUCGUGGAUCAGAAUGCCACGGUGAAUACGUUCCCGGGCCUUGUACACACCGCCCGUCACACCAUGGGAGUGGGUUGCAAAAGAAGUAGGUAGCUUAACCUUCGGGAGGGCGCUUACCACUUUGUGAUUCAUGACUGGGGUGAAGUCGUAACAAGGUAACCGUAGGGGAACCUGCGGUUGGAUCACCUCCUUA
rnacentral:rRNA from 1 species